UCACGGAGGUCUCAGUCAGAGCAAAUAUCUACUCUUGCUGAAAGUGAGUAUAACAUUUUUUAGUCACGUCUAUCUGACAUUGCAAUGCAUAAUAAUAGAUAGUGUUACACUUAUUGCAAGCAAGCAGCAGGAAAUUUUGGAACGGGUGAAGGCCACUGACGUAAGGUUGAGCCAUAUUAUGGAGACAGUAAUCAGCAGAAGUUUUCGAGAACUAAAAGUACUAAUCGAAACACAGGAAAAGAAAAGUUAUACAAUACGAAAUUCUCCUUAUGAGGUGGAGCUUAAGCACAAGAUUGCCAACUUGUUUUGCGAGACACUAAAUUCGUAUCCUCAGGAAAAUGAAGUGAAUGACGUUGUUAAAGAUACUCUAUCACGAGAUGACUUCACCAAAAAAUACAAAGUUGUUGUUGCUAUCAAGGCGGCCAAAGAUAUGCUUUCAAUUUUCCGAACUGAAGAAAGAAGGAAGGUUAUAACUUAUACCGUAAUGAAUGUAUACUUUAUACUCCAUAUAGAUAUUGGGAAUUCCUCCAUACCCAAAUGCUUGUCUUCAAGACACAGUCUCGUU